rnacentral:rRNA from 1 species
CAGAAAGACCCUAUGAAGCUUUACUGUAACUUGAAAUUGAAAUUGGACUUUAGUCGCGCAGUAUAGGUGGGAGGCGUUGAAAAUAUUCUUGCGGGAAUAUCGGAGCCAUCAGUGAGAUACCACUCUUCUAAUGUUAGAUUUCUAACUUUGAAUCAUUAUCUGGUCAAAGGACAGUUUCAGGCGGGCAGUUUGACUGGGGCGGUCGCCUCCCAAAUGGUAACGGAGGCGUACAAAGGUUUCCUCUGAACGGGUAGAAAUCGUAUCUAGAGUGUAAAGGCAUAAGGAAGCUUGACUGUGAGACCUACAAGUCGAACAGGGACGAAAGUCGGUCUUAGUGAUCUGACGGUACUGAGUGGAAAGGCCGUCACUCAACGGAUAAAAGUUACUCUAGGGAUAACAGGCUGA